GCCUCAUCUCCCUCCCAGCUGCCAGGGAGGGACGGCUCCAUGGGCAGUGCCACGGGUGCCAGCUGCCCAGCCAGGAUGCAGGGACCAGGCAGUGGUGGUGAAGACAGAUGACAGUACCUGUCUCAGAAAACGUUGUUUUAGGAGUCGGCAUGGUAACAGGGAGCCACCAAGCUUCUCCCUGCAGUCAUCCUGCCCAUGGCUGUUGAUGGCCCUGAUGGGGCUUGGAGCCCCCAGAAUGUGCAGAAGUU
rnacentral:lncRNA from 1 species